GACUCUUAGCAUAGGACCUCUUGGCUCAAACCUCAAUGAAGAGCGCAAUUAGUUGCCAGAAUUAAUGAGAAUUGCAGGACACAUUGAUCACUGACACUUCAAAUGCCUUUGGGACACUGGGGCUAUGGCUUUCUGAGGGUUG
rnacentral:rRNA from 1 species